rnacentral:rRNA from 1 species
GAUGAACGCUGGCGGCGUGCCUAAUACAUGCAAGUCGAGCGAACAGACGAGGAGCUUGCUCCCCUGACGUUAGCGGCGGACGGGUGAGUAACACGUGGAUAAUCUAUCUAUAAGACUGGGAAAACUUCGGGAAACCGGAGCUAAUACCGGAUAAUAUAUUGAACCGUAUGGUUCAAUAGUGAAAGACGGUUUUGUUGCUACUUAUAGAUGGAUCGGGGCAGCAUAAGCUGGUUGGUAGGGUAACGGCUUACCACGGCGACGAUGCGUAGCCGACCUGAGAGGGUGAUCGCCCACACUGGAACGGGGACACGCUCCAGACUCCUACGGAAGGCAGCAGUAGGGAAUCUUCCGCAAUGGGCGAAGGCCUGACGGGGCAACGCCGCGUGAGUGAUGAAGGUCUUCGGAUCGUAAGACUCGGUUAUUAGGGAAGAACAAAUGUGUAAGUAACUGUGCACGUCUUGACGGUACCUAAUCAGAAAGCCACGGCUAACUACGUG